rnacentral:lncRNA from 1 species
UUAUUAACAACAAAAGACAAUGAUAUUUAACAUUUAAACAUAUAGCUUCAAACAUAUAUGAAUAGUACAGAGCCGAUAUAAACUUCAAUGGGCAAGGAUGUCCUAUCAUACGUUGGCUUCCAUUUUGUUAUAUCAUAUGUAAUCCUCAAAUGAUGCACUAACAUACUACUCAUAUAUAACAAAAUACCAAAGAAACUAUUAAUUUAACCUUUCAGAACUUUUGUCUAAUUUAUAUUUUAUAUUAGCAUUACACAUAAAAACAGAGGCCCUGCCACAAGCCUCAGAUAUUGGAUCAGGUCUUAUUUUAGACAAUUAUCUGAUUUCUUAUUCCAUUACAUGCAUGCAUGCAUGCUUAGAGCUUGUUCUUAUUCAGUACUCGUUGCCAAAGCCGUUAAAUCCCUCAGCGCGGUUCUUGUUCCCGUUCAGUUUAUUGUUCUCAAAGCCGAAUUCAGAAUCGCCAUUAUAGGGGCCGCCGCCACGCCUGUUGCCAAAGUUGUUAAAUCCAAAAGCUGGGCCCUCGUUGUUGCUAACCUCAUUCCCUUUAAAAUUGAAAUUUCUGCGGUUGGGAUUUCUAGAAGCAGGAUUUCCACCAUAUCCACCACCCCCAUAGCCACCGUUUCCUCCGCCAUAGCCACCCCCGUUUCCAUAGCCGCCACCGUUUCCGUAGCAGCCUCCGUGGCCACCGCCGUUGUUGCAUUGUUGUUGUUCUGGUUUGGGAAGACAUUUUUGCUUGGAUUUGGAUCUAUCUUCAGGAUGGUUAUCUGUGAGCCAGUUGAGGACCCCUCGGGCCGUGCCAUGGAUGGCACCGUCCAGAGGGGCCAAAGGAAAAGUCACUACAUCGGCAACCCUGUGGAGGGUGUCGAAGCCUCCCUCAACGGUGUCUCUCACCUGAUUUUUCACUUGUUUACUCGUCAUUGUCUUGCUGAUUAGUUUUAAGUUGGAAUUUGUGUGUUUGCUUGGAUGAUCGACUUAAUGCCUCAUGGUCUCCGUUUAUAGAUUUUGGCAUGCGC